UGUUCAAGAACAUGAAUGUGGCCAUGAUAUGGAAAUGUGAAUCAUCUCUGAUUGUACGGUUUGACCAUCGUGGCUCCAGCUGCUCUGAGAGCUUCAGAUCCAGAGCGUCUCUGUCUGAGGAUCAGAUCUCCAGAGGAAACGGCGAUCUGCUGCUGAGAGGAUGAAGGUUGAUGAUGAGGGCAGUUACAGGUGUGAUGCAUUUACACCUGGUGUCUCUUAUAGACGUGUUGUUCACCUUGCAGUAGAAGCUCCAGUCUCUGACAUCAGGAUCCAUCAGGAUGGAAACAGGAUCACCUGCAGCUCAGAGGGGAUCUACCCUCAACCUGAACUCACCUGGUCCACUGAGCCUCCAUCCAACACGGCUCUGCAGAACAGAACCACAGUCCAUCAGACUGAGGAGAAGCUUUAUGACAUCAGCAGCUCUCUGACGGGUCCAGAUGGUCCAGAUCUGAUCACUGAAAUAUCCUGAAUGAGGUUCAGGAUUUCUGAACAAAAGGUUUCAUUAGUCAGCAGAUUACUAUUAAACUUCCAAGCUAAGUUUGAAGCUGGUUUAGAUUUAUUCAGAGAGAGAAACAAGGUGACUGAACAAUGAUCUGUUAGAGGAGCCGCUGAGAUUUCACAGCUUGAAUAUUAUUUACCAUUUUAUGAGGGAUUAACCAAUAAUCUGGCCAUUUCCAGAAGGAUUGAACCAGGAGUAUAUUAGAAUUAGGAUUUCUAAUUCUCCAGCAGUCUGUCAAAUUUGUACUAGAGAUUAAGUUUACAAAAAUAUCAUCGUAAAUGUGGUGCUGCCCCCUAGAGGGGAAACGAUCGAUUGAUCCAUCUGGAGUUACAUUGAAAUCUUCUAAAAUAACCUGAUCAGUGGAAUAUUUUAAUUUCCAAUGUUUUAUCAUCACUCCGAGGUCAGCAAAAAAAAUACUAUUUAUCGCUUUA